ACUCGAGUGGCGAACGGGUGAGUAACACGUGGGUGAUCUGCCCUGCACUCCGGGAUAAGCUUGGGAAACUGGGUCUAAUACCGGAUAGGAGCCAUCUUUAGUGUGGUGGUUGGAAAGUUUUUCGGUGUAGGAUGAGCUCGCGGCCUAUCAGCUUGUUGGUGGGGUAAUGGCCUACCAAGGCGGCGACGGGUAGCCGGCCUGAGAGGGUGACCGGCCACAUUGGGACUGAGAUACGGCCCAG
rnacentral:rRNA from 1 species